UAAGAGCUUAAAAUCAAAGCUAUAUAUCCUACUAUAUCCUGCUAUAUAUUAAUUGAAAAGUAAUUUAAGAUAUUUUUGGUUAUAUGUCGAUCAUUUAUGAAAUCUUAGAAAAUCUGUUAUAAAUUGAUUGUCAAUAAUUUUCAAUUUCAAUUUAUUUUUAUUUAUUUUAAUUAGAUUUAAAAGAAAAAAAUAAGUCUAUUUAAUAUUACUUGCCAAAAUAUCAACAAAAUAUUUAAAAUAUUUAUUUAUGGUAACUAAUUGUUGAAACUAUACAAAGAGUAAUAAUAUUUGAUCAAUUUUUAUAUAUUUAUAAACUACAUAAAAUAGUAAACAAAAAAGUUUAUUAAAAUCGAUAUAAUUAUUUUAUAUUCAUAUAUAUAUAGCCUUUUAUUUGUAUAUAAAGUAUUAUAAUAACUAUUAAUAUCUAAUAAAAUUCAUACAUGCUUUAUAAAUGAUUUAUAAAAAUCAUGAAUACAUUUAUAAAAUUAUUUAUCUUGGCUUAUCAUAUUUUUUAAAUUAUGAUAAGAGGUUUUAAUUUACUUACUAGAUUUUGAUCCGCACUUAAGAAGCGCGGGUUUGAGGUUUUUAAUCUUUAACGAAUUUUAAAUCCAGUAUAAUUUUUUUUGUUUCACAUUAUAACUAUUGACUUUUAAUGUUUUUAUUAUCCAUUAUUUUUUAUAGUGUGAGAUUUGUUUGAAAUAGAUUUAAAGAUGAUAUGUAUGUUUUUAGUAGUAAAGAUAUUCAUUAUUAAAAAUAUAUAUUUUAAUAAUUGAACUGUAUUAACCAAUAUUUUGAAAAUCUGAUCGGACCUUACGAUCGAACCAGUCGGAUCCUGGCUCGCUCUUCUAACUGGGUCUGAGUUGUGCUAAAAACUGAAUUUGAGUUAAAUCAGACCUAGUUUAAUGUUAAAACCCAGUUUUCGCAAAUUCAAGUUAAAAAUAAAAAAAAAUUACAAAUUUUAAUAAGAUUUCAUCAAAAUUUAAUAUUUUUUCUACUACAUAUAUAAAUAAAUUAGUUUUAAAAUGGGACAUUAAUAUUUAAAAAUAUGUACUUUAAUAUUAAUCCAUUUGUUGACUAUUUCCUUAAGUUAUUUUCUGUAUUAAAAAAAUAAUAAUAAAAUCUUUAGGUAAAAUAUCGUUGUUAGUUAGAAUACUUCUUUUUAUACAUUAAGGAAAUUAUGAGUUGAUGUAUGGAAUAUUACUUUGGCUUAAAAAUAUGCUGAAUUAUAUGGUGUUAGUUUAACUAAUAGGUCCAAACAACCUUGCAUAAGUAGAUUUUUUAAGAAUGCUUCCCUUUUAAUAGUAUAGAUACAAGGUUAUAAAUUAAUUUAUAAAAUAUAUUUUUAAAUUUCAUUUAUAUUAAAUGAUAAAUCAAUUAAUUUAUUUUUUCUUAGGUGACGAUCAUAUAUAAAGUUUGAGAAAAAAUAUUAUAAUUUGACUUGUUAAUGGAUUUUUAAUUUUUAUUUAUUUUAUGAGUACAAAAAUUAGUUCUAGAAAGAGUUUUAUCAGUAUCCAAACGACCUAAAUAUAUUGCACAAAAUAAUUUAUGGUAAUUAAAUAUGUGAUUUAUAUAAUAUAUAUAAUGCUUCAUAAAAUCAUUUUUAGCAAUCAGGUAUUUCUAAACUAUAUAAAAUAUUUCAAAAGUUUCACUAUUAUAUACCUUCAAAACUUAAGUAAUUUUAUUAAAAACUGAAUCAUGAAUAUUAUACAUAUCAUAUUUAUCUUUUUUAAAACAAUUAUUCUUAGAAUAAAUAUUUAACAAAAAGCACAUAAUGAUAAAAACAUAUUUUAAUUUGAAACAUUAUAAUAAAUAUAUUGUUACAAAACAUUCAAACCCGCGAAACCGCAGGCACCCACCUAGUACAUAUUUAUAUUUUGAUAUAUGCGUUGAAUAUAUAUUGAAACAUUAAUAUUUUAAUUUUGAACUCUUCAUUGUUUUUUUAAAGAGAAAUUACUUAUAAUGACUCAGAUUAUACUUGAAAUGACUAGAAUAACUCAUAAACUUUUGCAAUUACUAGACUAACUCACAUGACUAAUGAAAGUACUAAAAACCCAUCCUUCCUUUUCAUAUUCACUUUUUUUUUUGGUUUUUUUUUUGAAAUUUCUUUUCAUAUUAGAUAAUUAUUUUAUUUUCCCCUAAAAAGAAUCCUCAAUCUCUCGUUAUCCUCUCCGACGAAAGAAACGUCGAAGACGAAGGAGGGUUCUCUUCACUUCCGUCUCCGGUGAACACUCCUCUGGGACAGGCUCCUUCCGUUUCGUCAUCUCCACCUCAACUCGCCGUCGUCUGUCAUACAAAAAGAACCCUAAAUCCGAUUUCACUUUUUUGUCAAAAUCCACCUUUCAAUCUAAGAAAAUUGAACCUGGAUGUUUCAGACAGAACAUAAUUGGCGUUACUAUCUAUGCUUCCUUAGGAGAGGAUGCUUUGAUUUACUCACUCAAUGUGGUUGGUGUGUAAGUUUGUUUUUGUUACGUGAAUUACAGGGAUGUUUCAGACAAACCAAUGCCUCGAGGGGAGAUUGUGGUAGGUGAUAACUGUGUAACAGCAGGUUACUUCAACAAUCAAGCAAAAACCGAUGAGGUUUACAAGGAAGUUAAGCAGAUGCAGCUUUGUUUCAAGUAAUUACGUUGACAACAUUAUGGUACACACAGACCCAAUGAACAGCUACUGUGUAACUCUUGUUGUAGCAUCAUACGGAGCAUUAGAGAAAUGGGGCAGAGCAAGCAGGAGUUAAAUACAGCGACUUCUCUGAGCUAUGCGAGAACGGUGAUGCAGUAAACGAGGUUCAACAAUCUCUUACCAAGGCGGCAAAGCUAGAAAAAUUUCAUGUACUUAGGGUUUUGACUUUACUUUUACUAAUAAAGUUUGAUCAUGAUGGGGUUGUUUUCUCCCCUUUUAAUACACUAAUUUUCAUUCCAACUUUUAUAUAACGGAGCAAUUUAAGAGAGUAAAA